UCAGCCUCAGCGCCUCGAGCGCGAGAGCGGCGUUGCGCCGCUCUGGUUGAAUUGCAGGACA
rnacentral:misc_RNA from 1 species